rnacentral:lncRNA from 1 species
AACGCGUCCCGGGCCGGCUCUGCCGUCGUUGCUGCCGCCGGGCGCCCCGGGACGAGGAGGUGGAGGAGGGAGAGGGCCCGCGGGCCUCGCCUCCGCCCUCCGCCACCUCGAGCUGCGGUAGCAGCGACUCAUGAGAGCGCGGCCGGAGGACAGAUAAGGAAACUGGGACACAGAAAGGUUGAGUAACUUGUUGAAGUUCACCCAGCUAAUUUGAUAAUGGGCUGCAUUAAAAGUAAAGAAAACAAAAGUCCAGCCAUUAAAUACAGACCUGAAAAUACUCCAGAGCCUGUCAGUACAAGUGUGAGCCAUUAUGGAGCAGAACCCACUACAGUGUCACCAUGUCCGUCAUCUUCAGCAAAGGGAACAGCAGUUAAUUUCAGCAGUCUUUCCAUGACACCAUUUGGAGGAUCCUCAGGGGUAACGCCUUUUGGAGGUGCAUCUUCCUCAUUUUCAGUGGUGCCAAGUUCAUAUCCUGCUGGUUUAACAGGUGGUGUUACUAUAUUUGUGGCCUUAUAUGAUUAUGAAGCUAGAACUACAGAAGACCUUUCAUUUAAGAAGGGUGAAAGAU